UUAGUCAAGCUACGUUGAGUGCGGUUCAUAGUCAGAUGGGAGCUGUUGAAACAAGCUUUGAUGAGGUGCAUAACAUAUUUGACAUUGGUGGAUCUAAAGGCUUGACUAAGUAUUCAGUGGGAAAAAAUUCCUAAAAUCGCCAUUACUUAAUGAUGUUGAUGAAUUGGGAGAACGCGUUUCUUGUUCCGUGUGCCUUCAGGAUUUUCAAGUUGGAGAAAUACUAAGGAGUUACGAAG
rnacentral:lncRNA from 1 species